rnacentral:rRNA from 1 species
CCUACGGGUGGCAGCAGUGGGGAAUAUUGCACAAUGGGGGAAACCCUGAUGCAGCGACGCCGCGUGAGCGAUGAAGUAUUUCGGUAUGUAAAGCUCUAUCAGCAGGGAAGAAAAUGACGGUACCUGACUAAGAAGCCCCGUCUAACUACGUGCCAGCAGCCGCGGUAAUACGUAGGGGGCAAGCGUUAUCCGGAUUUACUGGGUGUAAAGGGUGCGUAGACGGGGGUGCAAGCCAGAUGUGAAAGCCCGGGGCUCACCCCCGGGACUGCAUUUGGAACUGUUCUGCUAGAGUGUCGGAGAGGCAGGAGGAAUUGCUAGGGGAGCGGUGAAAUGCGUAGAUAUUAGGAGGAACACCAGUGGCGAAGGCGGCCUGCUGGACGAUGACUGACGUUGAGGCUCGAAAGCGUGGGGAGCAAACAGGAUUAGAUACCCUUGUAGUC